rnacentral:lncRNA from 1 species
UGAUGGAAGUUAAUUGGCAAAGCAAGAUUCCAAAGGUUCAAGGUGUGACCAUGUUGACAUUAAAGUGAAGAAGCCAAGCACAAGUGGUUAAACCAAAGAUCACAUGGUCAUGGAUAAUGUCAUGAGAGUUAGGACUAGUCAUUUAGUGAUUAAGGAUGACCAAUGGCAUAGGGUUGACUUUGGUCAAAUUUGACCAAAAAGUCAAC